GACGAACGCUGGCGGCGUGCUUAACACAUGCAAGUCGAACGGAAAGGCCCUGCUUUUGUGGGGUGCUCGAGUGGCGAACGGGUGAGUAACACGUGAGUAACCUGCCCUUGACUUUGGGAUAACUUCAGGAAACUGGGGCUAAUACCGGAUAGGAGCUCCUGCUGCAUGGUGGGGGUUGGAAAGUUUCGGCGGUUGGGGAUGGACUCGCGGCUUAUCAGCUUGUUGGUGGGGUAGUGGCUGACCAAGGCUUUGACGGGUAGCCGGCCGGAGAGGGUGACCGGCCACAUUGGGCCUGAGAUACGGCCCAGACUCCUACGGUAGGCAGCAGUGGGGAAUAUUGCACAAUGGGCGGAAGCCUGAUGCAGCAACGCCGCGUGCGGGAUGACGGCCUUCGGGUUGUAAACCGCUUUCGCCUGUGACGAAGCGUGAGUGACGGUAAUGGGUAAAGAAGCACCGGCUAACUACGUG
rnacentral:rRNA from 1 species